rnacentral:rRNA from 1 species
AUUGAACGCUGGCGGCAGGCCUAACACAUGCAAGUCGAGCGGAUGAGAGGAGCUUGCUUCUCGAUUCAGCGGCGGACGGGUGAGUAAUGCCUAGGAAUCUGCCUGGUAGUGGGGGACAACGUUUCGAAAGGAACGCUAAUACCGCAUACGUCCUACGGGAGAAAGCAGGGGACCUUCGGGCCUUGCGCUAUCAGAUGAGCCUAGGUCGGGUUAGCUAGUUGGUGAGGUAAUGGCUGACCAAGGCGACGAUCCGUAACUGGGCUGAGAGGAUGAUCAGCCACACUGAAACUGAGACACAGACCAGACUCCUACGGGAGGCAGCAGUGGGGAAUAUUGGACAAUGGGCGAAAGCCUGAUCCAGCCAUGCCGCGUGUGUGAAGAAGGUCUUCGUAUUGUAAAGCACUUUAAGUUGGGAGGAAGGGUUGUAGAUUAAUACUCUGCAAUUUUGACGUUACCGACAGAAUAGGCACCGGCUAACUCUGUGCCAGCCGCCGCAGUAAUAC